AGCGAACGCUGGCGGCAGGCUUAACACAUGCAAGUCGAACGGGCGUAGCAAUACGUCAGUGGCAGACGGGUGAGUAACGCGUGGGAACGUACCUUUUGGUUCGGAACAACCCAGGGAAACUUGGGCUAAUACCGGAUAAGCCCUUACGGGGAAAGAUUUAUCGCCGAAAGAUCGGCCCGCGUCUGAUUAGCUAGUUGGUGAGGUAACGGCUCACCAAGGCGACGAUCAGUAGCUGGUCUGAGAGGAUGAUCAGCCACAUUGGGACUGAGACACGGCCCAAACUCCUACGGGAGGCAGCAGUGGGAAUAUUGGACAAUGGGCGCAAGCCUGAUCCAGCCAUGCCGCGUGAGUGAUGAAGGCCCUAGGGUUGUAAAGCUCUUUCGACGGGAACGAUAAAUGACGGUACCCGGAGAAGAAGCUGCGGCUAACUACGUGCCAGCCGCCGCCGUAAU
rnacentral:rRNA from 1 species